GACAGAGGGUGCAAACGUUGUUCGGAAUUACUGGGCGUAAAGCGUGUGUAGGCGGUCCGCUAAGUCGGGUGUGAAAGCCCCGGGCUCAACCCGGGAAGUGCACUCGAAACUGGCGGGCUAGAGUAUCGGAGAGGUUGGUGGAAUUCCACGUGUAGCGGUGAAAUGCGUAGAGAUGUGGAGGAACACCGAUGGCGAAGGCAGCCUCCUGGGCCAACACUGACGCUCAUGCACGAAAGCGUGGGGAGCAAACAGG
rnacentral:rRNA from 1 species